UGCUUUUAUCAUGUUUAGGUAUGGG
rnacentral:piRNA from 1 species